rnacentral:rRNA from 1 species
UACGGAGGAUCCGAGCGUUAUCCGGAUUUAUUGGGUUUAAAGGGAGCGUAGGUGGAUUGUUAAGUCAGUUGUGAAAGUUUGCGGCUCAACCGUAAAAUUGCAGUUGAAACUGGCAGUCUUGAGUACAGUAGAGGUGGGCGGAAUUCGUGGUGUAGCGGUGAAAUGCUUAGAUAUCACGAAGAACUCCGAUUGCGAAGGCAGCUCACUGGACUGCAACUGACACCGAGGCUCGAAAGUGUGGGUAUCAAACAGG